rnacentral:lncRNA from 1 species
GGCAAUUUGACAUGCAAACCCCUCAUUUCUAUAACUUGCAUUAAUAGGCCACUUUACAAUUGCCUAGCACAUUUCUAAAUUUUCUCACAUAAGUCCUAUUUAAUAAAAUUCACUUACAAUUAACAAAAUUCAAACAUGAAAUUUUCACACAUGCAUAUAUACAUAUAAUAAGCAUCAACUAUGAUGGUUAAUUAUUUUUAUGACUCGGUUUAGUGGUCCCGAAACCACUUUCCGACUAGGGUCAAUUUAGGGCUGUCACAACUUUCCC